rnacentral:rRNA from 1 species
AUUGAACGCUGGCGGCAUGCCUUACACAUGCAAGUCGAACGGUAACAGGUCUUCGGAUGCUGACGAGUGGCGAACGGGUGAGUAAUACAUCGGAACGUGCCUAGUAGUGGGGGAUAACUACUCGAAAGAGUGGCUAAUACCGCAUGAGAUCUACGGAUGAAAGCAGGGGAUCGCAAGACCUUGUGCGACAAGAGCGGCCGAUGGCAGAUUAGGUAGUUGGUGGGAGAAAAGCUUACCAAGCCGACGAUCUGUAGCUGGUCUGAGAGGACGAUCAGCCACACUGGGACUGAGACACGGCCCAGACUCCUACGGGAGGCAGCAGUGGGGAAUUUUGGACAAUGGGCGCAAGCCUGAUCCAGCAAUGCCGCGUGCAGGAUGAAGGCCUUCGGGUUGUAAACUGCUUUUGUACGGAACGAAAAGCCCCGGGUUAAUACCCUGGGGUCAUGACGGUACCGUGAGAAUAAGCACCGGCUAACUACGUGCCAGCCGCCGCCGUAA